rnacentral:lncRNA from 1 species
CGUGGCGUUGUGGUUAACUCAUCCGGCUUCUAUGUUAGAGCACCGAGGACUCGUAGGAUCCAUUCCCCGAUAGGACGGCUAAGCAUGGAUUCUCGUUCCAUGUCGAUGGUGCGCUGUCUGCUGAUGGUCGUGCUGCUGGCGGGGCACGGUGGUGUGCUGACAUCGGUAAACUCCCAACCUGUGGCCGAGUGUAAUGAAAGGUGCGGCGGCUUCGUGAUGCGCAUGUGUGUGGACGAGUGCCACUGCGUCUUCUACCCGGCCGACUGGGGUUUAUGCCUGCCGCUCUGGAUGAACGAGACCAACCUGCCUCCAUUAACGCACCUCUGAUGGGAUGCUGUUCAUCACCGUCAAUAAUGAGCUCUACACCGCGAUA